rnacentral:lncRNA from 1 species
AUCACUAUCUUCUUAUAAUAGAAAUCUUUGUUUUUAGAUGAAUGUUGUAUUCUAGUUGAUUUUCUAUAUUGUGUUACAUUUGGUUGAUCAGAACUAGUUUCAUCUUGUUGCACAUCUGUUUUAGAUGUUAUUUCAGUUAUUAUAUCUGAUGACUGUUCACUUAUUUUAGUAGGACUAUCAUGAAUCCUAUCAGAACCUUCUAUGUGAGGGUUUUCUAUGUUUAAAUUUGACAAAUCACUGAUAUUAGUGUUCUGCAAAUUUUUACUGGAAUUUGAUGACCCAGGGGAGCUGUCUGGAAUUCCAGUGUUUCUGUCUGAGUUUUCUCCUGAGUUUGAUGACUUAGGGGAGGUGCUUUUACUGUUUAAAAACGAUGUAUUGUCU